CCUACGGGGGGCAGCAGUGGGGAAUAUUGGACAAUGGGGGCAACCCUGAUCCAGCCAUGCCGCGUGUGUGAAGAAGGCCCUCGGGUUGUAAAGGACUUUCAGUGAGGAAGAACGCCUGGUGGUUAAUACCCAUCAGGAAAGACAUCACUCACAGAAGAAGCACCGGCUAACUCCGUGCCAGCAGCCGCGGUAAUACGGAGGGUGCGAGCGUUAAUCGGAAUUACUGGGCGUAAAGCGCGCGUAGGUGGCUUGAUAAGCCGGUUGUGAAAGCCCCGGGCUCAACCUGGGAACGGCAUCCGGAACUGUCAAGCUAGAGUGCAGGAGAGGAAGGUAGAAUUCCCGGUGUAGCGGUGAAAUGCGUAGAGAUCGGGAGGAAUACCAGUGGCGAAGGCGGCCUUCUGGACUGACACUGACACUGAGGUGCGAAAGCGUGGGUAGCAAACAGGAUUAGAUACCCGUGUAGUC
rnacentral:rRNA from 1 species